UAUUAAAGUUGUUGCAGUUAAAAAGCUCGUAGUUGGAUUUCUGUUAAUUCUUAUAUAUAAUACUACGGUAUUUAUAUAACAUUAACAUAAUUCAUAUUACUUAUUUAAAGUAUAUGAAAUUUUA
rnacentral:rRNA from 1 species